rnacentral:rRNA from 1 species
GGCUGCAGAAUUUAUAACUGUACAAAGGUAGCAUAAUAAUUUGUUUUUUAAUUAAAAACUAGUAUGAAUGAUUAAAUGAAAUAUAAACUGUUUCAAUUAAAUAAAAAUUUAAAUUUUUAUUUAAGUUAAAAAACUUAAAUAAUUUUAAAAGACGACAAGACCCUAUAGAAUUUUAUUUAUUAUUUAAAAAUAAAAUUUAAUUAAUUUAAUUAAAUUUUAAUAAUAAAUUUAAUUGGGGUAAUUUAAAAAUUAAAAAAAUUUUUUUUUAUAUAAACAUUAAUUAAUGAAUAUAAAAUCUUAAAUUUUAAAUUAUUAAAAUUAAUUACCUUAGGGAUAACAGCAUAAUUUUUUUUAAAAGAUCUUAUU